CCUACGGGGGGCAGCAGUGGGGAAUAUUGCACAAUGGGCGCAAGCCUGAUGCAGCCAUGCCGCGUGUGUGAAGAAGGCCUUCGGGUUGUAAAGCACUUUCAGCGGGGAGGAAGGCGGUGAGGUUAAUAACCUCAUCGAUUGACGUUACCCGCAGAAGAAGCACCGGCUAACUCCGUGCCAGCAGCCGCGGUAAUACGGAGGGUGCAAGCGUUAAUCGGACUUACUGGGCGUAAAGCGCACGCAGGCGGUCUGUCAAGUCGGAUGUGAAAUCCCCGGGCUCAACCUGGGAACUGCAUUCGAAACUGGCAGGCUAGAGUCUUGUAGAGGGGGGUAGAAUUCCAGGUGUAGCGGUGAAAUGCGUAGAGAUCUGGAGGAAUACCGGUGGCGAAGGCGGCCCCCUGGACAAAGACUGACGCUCAGGUGCGAAAGCGUGGGGAGCAAACAGGAUUAGAUACCCGGGUAGUC
rnacentral:rRNA from 1 species